ensembl:lncRNA
GACCCUCCCAGGUAGAUCUUGGUCAAGGCAUGUGAAGGGACAGUUGGGGGUUGGGGGGGAGCUGUAUUCAGCCUGCAGGCUGUAGUGUACUGCUCUGGUUUAGCAGGCCGAUCUUAAUUGUUCAAACUCCCUCCCUUCUUAGUGUUGUCCCUUAUUUUAGAGACAAAGUGCUAGAAAAGCCAGAGUCUGUUCAGUGAUCACAGAAAGGUCGCUAACAACCACAAAAGGCCACCUUUAGAGAAAAACCUCCACCAAGUGGAAGCAACAGAAAUUGGGAGCUUUUACCCUCCGGCAGAUGCUGAGAAAUGAAGAUUCUACUUUCUUCCCAUUGUCCCUCAACGGAAGGCUGGGUGUUUUAAUUAGCUAAUGUUGGCAAAUUGCUUUGAAGAAAAUUGUAAAAUGUUUCGUGCUCCAAGUGCCAAGAAUUCUAAUUAGCUUUUCUUAAAGAUACCACCUGGAAGCGUGAGCGCUUGUUGCUCGAGGUCCCAGCCAGCAAGAAUAACCUGCGGACCCCAAACCGGUUUUUAAGCAAACGCAACUGAAUACAAACAGAUCUCUACAUUGAUGUCACACUUUCUUCCUUCUGCUGAAUAUGAUUCCUAGCAGCUGGGAUAUUAAGCCCCCAGAAUGGAGCUUGUGCGUCUGAGGCCCUGCCCCGGCACGUCAAGGUCACAGAGAGGAGGAGGCGGGCAGCCACUCAAUCAUGCACCAGGGCCAGCUCCCAGGUCCCCCGGUCUGGGAGAGACGCGUGUAUGCUCUGUCGCUCUUAACAGCUGGGUAAUGAGUUUGCUCUCCAACAGUCUCGUUUCAUGUGGUGGCGGUGGUGACCGCAGCAGCAUCUGAUCUGUGUCACCGUCAGAAGCAAGUGAGAUGUAGUUAAUAUGGACCUUAGCCACCGACGGGCAUUGAUUGGGAAUCUCCAGGCACUGACAAAGUCCCGCUAAAUUGGCAGGGCCGGGCGCCAUGUGAGAGGAGGCGCCCAGCCCGGGGCCGGGGAGGAAUUCCUUACCCUCACCACCAUUGGCAUCUGGGGCCAGACGAGUCUUUGAGAGGAACCCUCAGGAAAGGAAAGCAAGAGCAUCUCACCAUCCUGCUGGGAAGCCCCAGGCUCCCUAGCACGUACCCUUGAAAUCACCAGGCGGUGUGCUCUGUGGACUCCUCCCGUCUGCCCAGAGACAUCCUUCCUGCCCCUGGAUGUCUGGUUGAAUCUCUCCAGAGGCCUUCCCUCACCCCUACCCUGAAGACCAGACGUCCGUGUUCUCUGAUACAGGGGCCUCAGCCUCAGCACUGGUGCCAUUUGGGGCCAGACGAUUUCUGUAGUGGGAGCUGCCGUGGGCAUUGUAAGAUGUUGGGCAGCGUCCCUCACCCCUCCCC